AUGGGUCUUACUGCGGUACUAGUGGGUCUAUGGGUCUUACUGCAGUACUAGUGGGUCUAUGGGUCUUACUGCAGUACUAGUGGGUCUAUGGGUCUUACCUUCAGUACUAGUGGGUCUAUGGGUCUUACUGCAGUACUAGUGGGUCUAUGGGUCUUACUGCAGUACUAGUGUGGUUCUACAAUCCAUUGAUCUCAUCCUGAGAUGUUUCAUGAUGAUCUCAGACUGAGGUGAUAUUUCUAAUAAUACUGGGUUGGACAUAGUCACCGCAGAGCGGAGGGCACAACUUGGCUUGUUCAACCGGUUAAUUAAUGUGUGAUAACAGAUAUGUGUGAGAUAUCAGACACUCCUGUGGUUGUGUGUGAUUACUUCAUAGUCUGUGGACUCUAGUGGUUAGUCAGGACUUAGAUACUAACUGACAUGGAACAGAGUCCAUUCCCUGACUACAGUGAAAUAGGCCUACCGCCUACUCCGGAGAUAUGCAUUGGCUUGGGACAGUGAUCCCCAGGAAUCUAUUUAAUUAAUGCACACAGCUUUUUCACUAAUAAAAUGUUGAAAAGACUACAUCACUAUUUAUUGUUACCAAUAUGACCAUUAGAAUAACAAAUUCAAACUGCUGUUUCAUCAUGAUAUCUUGUUGCUGUUAAUCUGCAUUAUAAGGCUGCGUUGAGACAAUGACUUAUUAAAGACCCAAGCCCAGCUCAGUUAAUCCCUACCAUUGUGACGCUGAGUUGUCAUAAUGCUUCAGGCAAAUGUACAUUACACCAGGGGUGUUGGUAGACACAAUGUACGUCACCAAAUAUAUGUCCCUCUAACUGCCUGAAAGCCUCUGUUGAUCCUACAGCUAUUGCCUGCAGUAAUCAUGUGCCUAUGAACCAGAGUUACACUAUUAGCACUAAGGAGGUGUGUCCUAGUAGGAAGACCACUGUUAACACUGAGGAGGUGUGUCCUAGUAGGAAGACCACUGUUAACACUGAGGAGGUGUGUCCUAGUAGGAAGACCACUGUUAACACUGAGGUGGUGUGUCCUCGUAGGAAGACCACUGUUAACACUGAGGAGAUGUGUCCUAGUAGGAAGACCACUGUUAGCACUAAGGAGGUGUGUCCUAGUAGGAAGACCACUGAGGUGGUGUGUCCCAGUAGGAAGACCACUGUUAACACUGAGGAGGUGUGUCCUAGUAGGAAGACCACUGAGGUGGUGUGUCCUAUAGGAAGACCACUUAACACUGAGGAGGUGUGUCCUAGUAGGAAGACCACUGAGGUGGUGUGUCCUAGUAAGAAGACCACUUAACACUGAGGUGGUGUGUCCUAGUAGGAAGACCACUGAGGAGGUGUGUCCUAGUAGGAAGACCACUGUUAACACUGAGGAGGUGUGUCCUAGUAGGAAGACCACUGAGGUGGUGUGUCCUAUAGGAAGACCACUGUGUGCAUCUCACCCUGCAUUAAUAAAAAAAAAACACAUGAGUAUGUCUGUCUACCUCUGCUAAGCUUCCCAGUAAAGUAAUAAAAACAACCAAGCAUCCCAGAAAUGUGUUAAAAAUAGCCCGUGGUAAUAUAUGUAGCUUAAGAAACAAGGUUCAUCAAGUCAAUAAUUUGCUAGUAACAGAUUACAUUCAUAAUACCUUAGAUGAUACAGUGGUAGCAAUAGAAGGUUAUAACAUUGACAGAGAAGAUAGAAAUGCCAAAGGUGGAGGUGUUGCUGUUUGUAUUCAGAACCACAUUCCUGUGAAGAAUAGAGAGGAUCUCAUGUUAAAUACUGUUGAAGUAAUAUGGCUACAGGUUCAUCUGCCUCACCUAAAGCCCAUUCUGGUGGGAAGCUGCUAUAGACCACCAAGUGCUAACAGUCAGUAUCUGGAUAACGUGUGAAAUGCUUGAUAAUGUAUGUGACAUCAACAGAGAGGUAUAUUUUCUGGGUGAUUUAAAUAUUGACCAGCUUUCAUCAAGCUGCCCACUCAAGGAAAAGCUUUAAAGUGUAAACAGCACAGGAAUGAAAACAGCAACAUGUAUUGAUGUAUUGAUCACAUCUUUACUGAUGCUGCAGAACUCGGCUCUAAAGCAGCAUCCAGGUCCAUUGGAUGUAGUGAUCACAAUAUAGUAGCCAUAACCAGGAAAACCUAAGUUCCAAAGGCUGGAACUUAUAUAGUGUAUAAGAGGUCAUAUAAGACGUUUUGUUGUGAUUCCUAUGUUGUUGAUGUAAAUCAUAUUUGCUGGUCUGUGGUGUGUAAUGAGGAGCAACCAGACGCUGCUGGUCUGUGGUGUGUAAUGAGGAGCAACCAGACGCUGCUGGUCUGUGG
ensembl:lncRNA